GCGAGUAUCUAGUUAAGUGCGAGCAGCAGAGAAAAUACAAGUAGUUUGUGCGAUAUCGCGCGGCGGAAACUUCCGCAAACCCUCAGAGGGCCAGGGAAACACAAAAGCUGCGACUUAAGGCCCCAGAACAAACCGAACCCUCAACAAGUAAUGAAUUACGCGUCAGACUUUCCGCACUCCUUUCAAGAGGAGCGCUGCGCACAAUAAAGGAGCCAAAAAGGCAUGAGCAGCUGAAAGCAGUUGCCAAAAUGUUCUACCAACAUUGAGGAGGCUCCACAAUGAAUUAAUCUAAGGGAAACCGAAUUAUAAAGGGGCCAGUCAGAAGCAAACAAAACAUAAAACAUGAAAAA